rnacentral:lncRNA from 1 species
AUCGGUGGCAGUGUCCAAGAUGACCUGGCGUCCGCUGCUGCUAUCCUCCUUAAAGGUGACCACGAUGGAAGGCUCGGGGAAGACUGGCGCGUUGUCAUUAAGGUCCCGCACCAACACUCGCACCUCCGUGGGGAAGUAACCAAAACCUGGAAACAAAAUGGAGGCUCAUCAAUGGGAUUCCAUAUGUCUCAUUUUACAAAUUAGGAAAAUGAGGCCCAUAAAGG